UUCCCCCCAACGCCUGGUCCAUGGAAAAAUUGUCUUCCAGUCCCUGGUGCCAGAAAGGUUGGGGACCGCUGAUUUGGGGGUUCAGAAUGCACCAAAGCAAAAGAAUUGUUCCGGCCAUUUCACUCAGUCAGCCAUUGCACAGAGGAGUGUGUGAGGAGCGUAGUUGGGUGGGCAGACACCAGAAUAGGAAAGCCCUUAUGUUUUAGCCAAGGAGGUGAGCUUUACUCUACAGUCACAGAUCCAUUGGAUCAUAAGUCAGGAGAAUGACAUGGCAAGGAUCGUCCUUGAUGAGGAUCGCUCUGUAAGUAAGUUAGUGGUGGAGAGAGACUGGGGACAGUAGGGCCAAUUAGAAAACUGCUGUGCUCAUCCUCCAGGCAGGAGGGAGUGGUGAGAGAGGACCCAGCAGCAAAGAAGAAAGACGCAGAGAAAGAAUGAGUGGCUCUCGGUGGGAAUAUGGGAAGUGACCUGGGUUCGGCUCCGGGAGACUGCCCAACGUGGCAAGAGGAGGGAAGGACGUUGAGCAGCCCAUCAGGGAGAUGGGGCUGUUAAACGACCCCCAACCGUCAGCACCCAGGAUGAAGGCGUGGUCUCUGCCUGGGUUGUUGCUGUUCUUGUGUCAGAGGACAAAGAGAAGACGGUGGAAGCACUCAGCCUCUUGGAGUGUCUGCUCAGAAAUGUCCCACUUCAUCUUAAUCCACAUUUUUUAUUGACAAAGCUAGUCACAUGGCCCAGCCUGACAUUCCUGGGAACCUCAAAGGCUGUGCAGCCUCUGACAGUGUCUCGAGCAGCCAACCUUGAUUUAUCCUGUGCAUCCACCUGGUUGCAAAGUGAAGCCUGGAUCCUGGGCCCCAGAAGGAAGGUGACAUCUCCUGAAAAUGGCUUUGCUGGAGAAGGAAAAGUCAGGAUCUGUCAGUGUUGGGAUCUGGCUCCAUAUCUGUCUAUUUAUGUAUUUGUUCUACAUUGGCAAAUAGAAGCGUGGAUAAAUAUCUUUAAAUCCUCUUAGGGAUUUUGCAGAUUUUGCAUUAGUGAGUGAGAGCAGUUGAAGACAUUGGCACUCUGCUAGAUUUCUUAAUGUUCAGAAGUCAAGUAAAAAUUUUGAUGACUAAAUGGAAGAACUAGGAAGAGUUUAUGUUGGCAUGGGGAUUGCUAUUGCUCUCUUUGACUAUAGAACUUGAUCAGUUUACUUAUUAAGUAGGAAACUAAAAAGAACACUGUAAUACAUGUGCAUUCAACAGACGUAUCACCACUUGAAAUGUGCAAGGCAUUGUGCUAGGCUUGCAGGAAGAAAAGCUGCAUGAAAAAAAUACCACCUGUUCUCAAGGUACAUGCCGUCCAUUGGGGAGACAGACACCUACGCACAUCACUGUUACCCACGGCAGUCAUGUUUUCAAUCCCAGAAGGUGGUUGGAAAUGCCAGGGGAAUCAUUUUUAAUUAUUUUUUAGG